rnacentral:tRNA from 2 species
GCGCCUGUAGCUCAGAGGAUUAGAGCGUCUGCCUCCGGAGCAGAAGGUCGUGAGUUCGAGUCUCACCAGGCGUA